CAAGCGUUGUUCGGAAUUACUGGGCGUAAAGGGCUCGUAGGUGGCCAACUAAGUCAGACGUGAAAUCCCUCGGCUUAACCGGGGAACUGCGUCUGAUACUGGAUGGCUUGAGUUCGGGAGAGGGAUGCGGAAUUCCAGGUGUAGCGGUGAAAUGCGUAGAUAUCUGGAGGAACACCGGUGGCGAAGGCGGCAUCCUGGACCGACACUGACACUGAGGAGCGAAAGCCAGGGGAGCAAACGGG
rnacentral:rRNA from 1 species